CUGAUCCAGCCAUGCCGCGUGUGUGAAGAAGGCCCUCGGGUUGUAAAGCACUUUCAGCGAGGAAGAACGCCUAGCGGUUAAUACCCGCUAGGAAAGACAUCACUCGCAGAAGAAGCACCGGCUAACUCCGUGCCAGCAGCCGCGGUAAUACGGAGGGUGCAAGCGUUAAUCGGAAUUACUGGGCGUAAAGCGCGCGUAGGUGGCUUGAUAAGCCGGUUGUGAAAGCCCCGGGCUCAACCUGGGAACGGCAUCCGGAACUGUCAAGCUAGAGUGCAGGAGAGGAAGGUAGAAUUCCCGGUGUAGCGGUGAAAUGCGUAGAGAUCGGGAGGAAUACCAGUGGCGAAGGCGGCCUUCUGGACUGACACUGACACUGAGGUGCGAAAGCGUGGGUAGCAAACAGGAUUAGAUACCCUGGUAGUCCACGCCGUAAACGAUGUCGACCAGCCGUUGGGUGCCUAGCGCACUUUGUGGCGAAGUUAACGCGAUAAGUCGACCGCCUGGGGAGUACGGCCGCAAGGUUAAAACUCAAAUGAAAUUUGACGGA
rnacentral:rRNA from 1 species